rnacentral:rRNA from 1 species
UACGAAGGGGGCUAGCGUUGUUCGGAAUUACUGGGCGUAAAGCGUGCGCAGGCGGCUUUGCAAGACAGAUGUGAAAUCCCCGGGCUUAACCUGGGAACUGCAUUUGUGACUGCAAGGCUGGAGUGCGGCAGAGGGGGAUGGAAUUCCGCGUGUAGCAGUGAAAUGCGUAGAUAUGCGGAGGAACACCGAUGGCGAAGGCAAUCCCCUGGGCCUGCACUGACGCUCAUGCACGAAAGCGUGGGGAGCAAACAGG